rnacentral:rRNA from 1 species
GACGAACGCUGGCGGCGUGCUUAACACAUGCAAGUCGAACGGUAAGGCCCUUCGGGGUACACGAGUGGCGAACGGGCGAGUAACACGUGGGUGAUCUGCCCUGCACUUCGGGAUGAGCCUGGGAAACUGGGUCUAAUACCGGAUAGGACCACUGCCUGCAUGGGUGGUGGUGGAAAGCUUUUGCGGUGUGGGAUGGGCCCGCGGCCUAUCAGCUUGUUGGUGGGGUGAUGGCCUACCAAGGCGACGACGGGUAGCCGGCCUGAGAGGGUGACCGGCCACACUGGGACUGGGAGACGGCCCAGACUCCUACGGGAGGCAGCAGUGGGGAAUAUUGCACAAUGGGCGCAAGCCUGAUGCAGCGACGCCGCGUGAGGGAUGACGGCCUUCGGGUUGUAAACCUCUUUCAGCACCGACGAAGCGCAAGUGACGGUAGGUGCAGAAGAAGGACCGGCCAACUACGUGCCAGCCGCCGCAGUAA